rnacentral:rRNA from 1 species
CCUAACACAUGCAAGUCGAGCGGUCGUAGCAAUACGGCAGCGGCAGACGGGAGAGUAACACGUGGGAACGUACCCUUUGGUUCGGAACAACACAGGGAAACUUGUGCUAAUACCGGAUAAGCCCUUACGGGGAAAGAUUUAUCGCCAAAGGAUCGGCCCGCGUCUGAUUAGCUAGUUGGUGGGGUAACGGCCCACCAAGGCGACGAUCCUUAGCUGGUCUGAGAGGAUGAUCAGCCACACUGGGACUGAGACACGGCCCAGACUCCUACGGGAGGCAGCAGUGGGGAAUAUUGGACAAUGGGCGCAAGCCUGAUCCAGCAAUGCCGCGUGAGUGAUGAAGGCCUUCGGGUCGUAAAGCUCUUUUACCAGGGAUGAUAAGACAGUACCGGAGAUAAGUCCGGC